UGCCUGCAACUGGCCCACGUUGGAGCUUUUCCAUCUGAGAUCAACCAUUCUCUUUGACCAGUUAGUCUUGCCGGUGGCAUGAUGAAGAGGUGUAAAAGCGCGUGAGCAAAUGCUGGUGUACACGCGAAACCAAACUUUAAAUAGGGCACCGCUACCAAAGUUAGUGUGUGGCGAAAUGGAUCCGCGAUCAGUUGGUCAGGGGUUUUGCCGGAGGUGAAAGGUUGUAAACACGACAAUGAUCAUAAUACCGGACUUUAAAAUGGAACGAAACAGUAAAGUGUAUCAUGCAACGAGAAACUUCAUGUUCAAGUAUUUCCUGGCGUUCACAUGGAUCGGAUCAAUUUGUGUGUUUUGCA